rnacentral:rRNA from 1 species
GACGUUACCUACAGAAGAAGCACCGGCUAACUCCGUGCCAGCAGCCGCGGUAAUACGGAGGGUGCGAGCGUUAAUCGGAAUUACUGGGCGUAAAGCGCAUGCAGGCGGCCUCGUUAAGUCAGAUGUGAAAGACCCGGGGCGUUAACCUACGGAAUUGCAUUUGUAAACUGGCAGGCUAGAGUCUUGUAGAGGGGGGUAGGAAUUUCAGGUGUAGCGGUGAAAUGCGUAGAGAUCUGAAGGAAUACCAGUGGCGAAGGCGGCCCCCUCGGACAAAGACUGACGCUCAGAUGCGAAAGCGUGGGGAGCAAACAGGAUUAGAUACCCCUGGUAG